GGUGGUGGCAGCGCUUCACCGCUUCACUGGGGCAGUAGCCAGGCAGCACUCUGGCAACCCUUUGAAAGGUGGGCCACACCCUUAACUGUGACCAACCAGGGCCUGGUGAGACCUGCCUGGCCUUCACCAGAGUGGAGGGACACUGGUUGGAAAUUCUCAGGCCUGAAGCUGGGUCCUGCCUCGGAAGCAGCCCCACCAGCCAGCCAGGUGCUGGGAGUUGCUCUCCCACUGGCUGCCCAGACCUGCUCUCCUGUGAACAGAUCAAGGUAUUUGGCAGCUGCUGGACAUAAGUUUUCCACAUCCAGUGAUUGGCUGCCUUUGAUGGACACAGGAACGCAUCACUAUAUGAACUUUAAAGGGACACAGCUUGUGAAAAAUUCCUCUGAUAAAAGUCAAGGCCACUUCAAGUAGCUCUUCUCAUUCUCUGACCAAUGACCCAACAUAGCCGUUCUGCUGCUGCUUCUGGAGACAAUUACCAUUAGCAGCAUCCAUGUUCUUGACAACCUACUCCACUAUCACAGUAAGUUGAGACAAAACACAUCGGGAUGCUUUUGACUGCAAGUGGAAGAAACCGAACUUGAACUGGCAUCAGCGAAGAUGGCGAUGUCUUGGCUGUUGUAGGUGAAAGGUCUAGGAAGCCAUGUUGGGUCCAGCGCUUAUGACUGAGCCUCGAUUCCCUACUUCACUUUCUACUGAUUUCUCUGUGUUGGCAGCAUUCCCAGAGAGACUUUUUACCUCGUGAUGACAAGUACUGCUGUCACCCUCAAGCUUCUAUCUGAUUUUCUCAGCAGCUCCCCAGAAAAACACUAAAGCCUCUUUUCGAAGUCCCAGAACUGAAUCUCCUGGGUCCUGAGCAGCCUGGCUUGACUCAUGGGCCUAUCUCUGGACAAUCUCUAUAUUUAAAGCUGUAUUAAUUUCUUACUGCUGCUGUAACGAAUCAUCAUGGACUUAGUGGUUUAAAACAAUAGCAACGUAUUAUCUUAUUUUUCCAGAGGUCAGAAAUCUAAAAAUGGGCUGGAAGGACUAUAUGCCUUCUGGACACUGAAGGAGAGAAUUCAUUCCUUUGCGUUUUCCAUUUUCUAGACACUGCCUGCAUUCCUCAGCUCAUAGCCUCGUACCACACCAACUUCUCUUUCCAUUGUCACAUCUUCUCUGACUCUAGCUCUCCCCCUCUGUCUUAUAAGAAGAUUUUUAAAAAAUUACAUUGCACACCCCUCCCCCCAUCCCCAAUAGUCCAGGGUCACCUUCCAUCUCAGUGUCUUUCAUCACACCCUCAAAAUCUGUUUUGCCAAGUUAGGUGACGUAUUCACAGGUUCUGAGGAUUGGGACAUGGACAUCUUUGGGUAGCAUUAUUCUUCCCAUCUCAAAGAUGAUGUGAUGGUCUGCUUAGUUAGUUAGUCCAUUGUCACAAGCCUGGCCCUGGAGCACCCUCUGAAAUCACAUGGACAGAGAAGGGGAGGGGCAGUUCCGCAGGGGACGAUGUGGCCCAUUACCAGACCUGGAGGGAUGGAAUGCUGGCAGGCCAACAGCAAAUGUCUACAGCAGAAAAUGCAGGAAAACACUUCAGGACUCUCGUGAAUAAUUUUUGUUCCUUUUGGGAUCACCUGAUUUCUUUCAGGCAUUGAGCACAUUUUACUGACAGCACUAAAGUUCAGAAUGCAUUGUGAUCAUUUUAUUUCACUGGGAGUUUUGUACACAAUGUAUGUCAUUUAUAAAGAAAGGGAUUUGGAGCCUGGCGCUUCCUCCAGUGCAUCUCAGAAUGAACCACGUGCCGAUGAGGGGAGGCACAGCUCAGAGUGGAACAACAUGGAAAAGCACUUAAUUACUUGAUUUCUGAGUAAGUCCAGAGUUCCUGCUGCUGUAGGUGGGUGGGGAGAAGAAAUUCCAGCAUGAUGGAAAACUACAUAAUAUAUUAUGUUACUCUCCCUUAAAUCCCUUAAAUUAAAGGAAAAACAAUCUUCAAAGAAUCAUAAAGCACAUAAAGAGACAACUGGAGGGGAUGCU
ensembl:lncRNA